GGGCUCGCUUCGGCAGCACAUAUACUAAAAUUGGAACGAUACAGAGAAGAUUAGCAUGGCCCCUGCGCAAGAAUCCAGGGGAGAGGUAGUAAGGUCUU
ensembl:snRNA U6 U6 spliceosomal RNA